UACGUAGGGCGCAAGCGUUGUCCGGAAUUAUUGGGCGUAAAGAGCUCGUAGGCGGUUCGAUAAGUCGGACGUGAAAUCUCCACGCUCAACGUGGAGGGGCCGUUCGAUACUGUCGUGACUCGAGUCCGGUAGGGGAGUGUGGAAUUCCCGGUGUAGCGGUGAAAUGCGCAGAGAUCGGGAGGAACACCCGUAGCGAAGGCGGCACUCUG
rnacentral:rRNA from 1 species